GAACACCAAAUGCGAAGGCAGCUUACUGGUACGAUUCUGACGUUAAGGGACGAAAGCGUGGGGAGCGAAUGGGAUUAGAUACCCCAGUAGUCCACGCCGUAAACGAUGGGUACUAAGCAUUGGGAGUAUCGACCCUCUCAGUGUUGUUUAACUAAGCUAACGCCUUAAGUACCCCGCCUGGGGAGUACGGCCGCAAGGCUAAAACUCAAAGGAAUUGACGGGAGCCCGCACAAGCGGUGGAGCAUGUGGUUUAAUUCGACGAUAAGCGGGGAACCUUACCAAGGCUUGACAUCCUCUGAAUCUCUCUGAAAAGAGAGAGUGCCCUCGGGAGCAGAGUGACAGGUGUUGCAUGGUUGUCGUCAGCUCGUGUCGUGAGAUGUUAGGUUAAGUCCUCUAACGAGCGCAACCCUUAUCCUUUGUUACCAUUACUAAGGAGACUGCCCGGGUUUAACCGGGAGGAAGGUGGGGAUGACGUCAAAUCAGCAUGGCCCUUACGCCUUGGGCUACACACGUGCUACAAUGGCCGGUACAAUGGGCAGCAAAACGGUAACGUGAAGCUAAUCCCAUCAAAGCCGGUCCCAGUUCGGAUCGAGGUCUGCAAUUCGACCUCGUGAAGUUGGAAUCGCUAGUAAACGCGAAUCAGCCAUGUCGCGUUGAAUACGUUCUCGGGCUUUGUACACACCGCCCGUCACACCAAGAGAGUCGGUAGUACCCGAAAGCUGACAUUUGUUGGAAUAAGGUAAGACCGAUGAUAGGGGUGAAGUCGUAACAAGGUAGCCGUA
rnacentral:rRNA from 1 species